rnacentral:rRNA from 1 species
GACGGAGGGGGCAAGCGUUGUCCGGAAUCAUUGGGCGUAAAGCGCGUGUAGGCGGCUCGGUAAGUCCGCUCUGAAAGUCCAGGGCUCAACCCUGGGAUGCGGGUGGAUACUGCCGGGCUCGAGUCCGGAAGAGGCGAGUGGAAUUCCCGGUGUAGCGGUGAAAUGCGCAGAUAUCGGGAGGAACACCAAUGGCGAAGGCAGCUCGCUGGGACGUGACUGACGCUGAGACACGAAAGCCAAGGGAGCAAACAGG